rnacentral:rRNA from 1 species
GUCGACAUGAGUUGUUGCUGGUCCCCAAAAGGGGGCAUGUGCACAUUCUGUCUACACAUCCACUCACACCUGUGCACUCUCUGUAGCUCUAUGGCCUUGGGGACUCUGUCCCCUUGCUGUGGUCCUACAUCUUUACACACACACCGUAUUACAGUCUCAUGGAAUGCAUGUCGCGUUUAACGCAAUACAAUACAACUUUCAGCAACGGAUCUCUUGGCUCUCGCAUCGAUGAAGAACGCAGCGAAAUGCGAUAAGUAAUGUGAAUUGCAAAAUUCAGUGAAUCAUCGAAUCUUUGAACGCACCUUGCGCCCCUUUGGCUAUUCCGAAGGGCAUGCCUGUUUGAGUAUCAUGAACACCUCAACUCUCAUGGUCCGCCAUGAUGAGCUUGGACUUUGGGGGUCUUGCCGGCCUAACCGUUGGCUCCUCUCAAAUGAAUCAGCUUGCCAGUGUUUGGUGGCAUCACGGGUGUGAUAAAUAUCUACGCCUGCGCUCUUCCACCAGGUAACCUUCAGUGAUGGAGGUUCGCUGGAGCUCACAGACGUCCUCUUCCCAUGGAGGACAGCUUUUGAAC